rnacentral:rRNA from 1 species
AACGUAGGAGACAAACGUUAUCCGGAGUUACUGGGCGUAAAGGGCGUGUAGGCGGUUUGUUAAGUCUGGCGUGAAAGCUCUCGGCUAAACCGGGAGAGGUCGUUGGAUACUGGCAAACUAGAGGAUGGUAGAGGCGUGUGGAAUUCCGGGUGUAGUGGUGAAAUGCGUAGAGAUCCGGAGGAACACCAGUGGCGAAGGCGGGUCGUCUGGGCAACAACGUGACGCUGAGGAGCGAAAGCGUGGGGAGCGAACAGG